AGAGAGAGACCAGUGAACACAGUUACUUUCAACAGAAGCUUCAAGGAAAGGAGUUGCCUCCAUAUAAAUGAGUCAAGGCCUAGAGUUUCCUCAGCGUGGGGGGAACCAGAGCCCCAGGGCCAGCAACCUCGGCCUGUGCCUCCACAUACCGACAACCCCCGCGCUCCCACUCGGGCUUGUGGAGCCCACGUGUGGGAGAGCAUGGGGUUUGGGCUGGGGAGGGGGGAGCAGAGAAGAGCUCGGCCCUACCCUGCCCUGCACUGCCUGUGUGACUCGGGCCCCUCAUGCAGCUGUGGGACAAACACUGGCCUCUGUCAUAAAUGAGGAUUCACAAAACAGGCGAGAGGGGAUAUCAACACCCUCUGUCAAAUGGGCAUCCUUUCUUCCUGUCGAAGACUCACCUGGCAAGUUGUACCAUUGCCCCUCAGCCUAGAGAGGGAGAGACCGCAACUCGGAAAGCAGUGACCUUCUCAACAUCGAGGUGGUGAGCGGCCGAGCCGAGGCCACUGAGCAGGACUUCUGGGCGCAUAUCUUUUCUUUCUGCAUUCCUUCCCUGAUGUUCUGGAAAGGAGAGGGCCGGUGUGAUGUGAUCCAAGUGAUUCUGGACUUAGAGGAUUUGGAAAAGACUGCCUUCCAGCACACCCGUCCUUGCCAUUGGAUAAUCGCUGGAUUUGCACGU